GCCUGCUCAUGAUHGUAUUAAAUAGCUGCAGUAUUUUGACHGUACAAAGGUAGCAUAAUCAUUAGUCUUUUAAUCGAAAGCUUGUAUGAAGGGUUUGAUGAGGAAAAAACCGUCUCUYUUHAAUYUAAUCAUAAUYUUAUUUUUAAGAAAAAAAGCUUAAAUYUUAAUAGAAGACGAGAAGACCCUAUAGAGUYUUAUGAUCAAGYYUAUUUAUUAGUYUUAGGAUUUUAGGAAUAAAAUAUAGUUAAUYAUUUAGUAGGGGUGAUAGAAAAAUAUAAAUAACYYYUUUUAUUUAGUUACAUCUAUAUAUGAUUAUUUGAUUUUUUAUUAAAAAUUAUAAGAUAAAUUACCUUAGGGAUAACAGCGUAAUUUUUUUUGAGAGUUCAAAUUAGAAAAAAAGAUUGCGACCUCGAUGUUGGAUUAAAAUUAAUUAUUGGUGGAGAAGCUAAUAGGUUGGGUCUGUUCGACCUUUAAAUUUUUACAUGAUCUGAGUUUAAACCGGUGUAAGCCAGGUCG
rnacentral:rRNA from 1 species